GUAGUACUCCCUCUGUCCGGAAAUACUUGUCAUCAAAAUGAAUAAAAGGGGAUGUAUCUAAAUGUAUUUUAGUUCUAAAUACAUCCCUUUUUGUCCAUUUUGAUGACAAGUAUUUUCGGACGGAGGGAAUAUAAA
rnacentral:pre_miRNA from 1 species